CCAUAAUCAGUACUAUAAGAGUAAUGGUCCUGACUAUCUAUGCACAAAGCAUCCUAUAUAAUAGUUCUAACACAACACCAAACGAAAUGGCACUAGAACUGGCAGCAAAAGUGGAGCAUGUACUAAGAUCGCAAGCCGUGCAGAGCAGAAUCGGAAUAACUAUUUCUGAGGUUGUUCUCGGAGGAUCAGUGGCUUAUGGAACCGCAGUCCAGGGGAACUAUGAUGUGGAUUUGGUUGCAUUCUCACCAAGUCUUCACCCAAAACAAGGGAAAGUGUCUGAAGAUGGGUACAGCACAAUACUAUAGCCAAACUCAAGAUAUACCUUCUAGAGCACCUAACUGGGAGAUAUAUACCCCAAAAAAUGGAGAAGCAAUUUCAUGGCUGGCGCUUUACUGCUAACUACUUGCAAGUUGAUUUGCAGAUCAGCCCUCAAUGGGAGGACCCUAACCUGGAAGACAUGUAUUCCUACAUGAGAGACAUGCAUCCGGACAGGAGAAUCUUGUUUUCUUGUGGAACAGCCAAGUACAAAAACUCCUUAAUGGAGGGCCAGCCGAGAAGGGCAAAGAUACUUAUCAAAAGAAUUAAUCAAAGUGUGGAGAGACUCCGUUUGGGAUGGAAAAGUCAAUGGAUGCCCAAAGUCUUUCUUUCUUAGCAUUCUUGUGCUCAUCUCCUAUCAUCGAGCUCCACAGCAACUACUCAGUGAUGCAACUCCAUUGAAAACCCUUGCAAAAUGGGUGGCAAGAGAUAUACAGGAACUUGUGCAACAUAUUCGAAUGGACCCAAACCUGGACCUCCAUGUUCCCGGGGAGAACCAAGUGAUUAUGAGAAAGUAUAGUCACUGCCUUCCUGACAAGCCACGCAUCAUCGACCCGGCCAACCCCUUCAAGAACUUCUACAAACAGGGUCUCUGUCAGAUUGAGCCUUAAAAGAGCGACUCGUGUGAGAAACGAAGGGACAUAUUUGCAAGACAGAUUGCAAGCCUCAACCUGGUGAUGAAUGUCGUGUAGCCUAGUGGCAUACUUAUAUGAACAACAUACUAUAAGCGUGUAUCAUUUACAGUACAUUUUAAAAGGGAUACACUUUAAUGAAA